rnacentral:rRNA from 1 species
GACGUAGGGCGCGAGCGUUGUCCGGAUUUAUUGGGCGUAAAGAGCUCGUAGGCGGCUUGUCGCGUCGAAUGUGAAAACCCACGGCUCAACUGUGGGCUUGCAUUCGAUACGGGCAGGCUAGAGUUCGGUAGGGGAGACGUGGAAUUCCUGGUGUAGCGGUGAAUGACGCAGAUAUCAGGAGGAACACCGGUGGCGAAGGCGGUCUCU